rnacentral:rRNA from 1 species
UGCGAGUUGGAUGGGAUACCUAAACUUCCCAUAGCAAACUGCUUAGUAACACAUGAUCAACUUGCCCUAUGGAGAAAAAUAACCUCGGGAAACUGAGGAUAAUGUUUCAUAGUUGAAUAGGCUUGGAAAAGUUUUUCAAUGAAAGGAAUAAGAUAAAUGGUUCUUAUUUGCCAUAGGAUAGGAUCGUGGUCGAUUAUGGUAGUUGGUGAGAUAACGGCUCACCAAGCCGAUAAUCGAUAGGGGCCGUGAGAGCGGGAGCCCCAAGAUGGGUACUGAGACAGCGACCCAGGCCUUACGAGGCGCAGCAGGCGCGAGACCUCCGCAAUACACGAAAGUGUGACGGGGUUACCCAAAGUGUUCUCUUAAGAACUGUGGUAGGUGAGUAAUGUCCCCUACUAGAAAGGAGAGGGCAAGGCUGGUGCCAGCCGCCGCGGUAAAACCAGCUCUUCAAGUGGUCGGGAUAAUUAUUGGGCUUAAAGUGUCCGUAGCCGGUUUAGUAAGUUCCUGGUAAAAUCGGGUAGCUUAACUAUCUGCAUGCUAGGAAUACUGCUAUACUAGAGGGCGGGAGAGGUCUGAGGUACUACAGGGGUAGGGGUGAAAUCUUAUAAUCCUUGUAGGACCACCAGUGGCGAAGGCGUCAGACUGGAACGCGCCUGACGGUGAGGGACGAAAGCCAGGGGAGCGAACCGGAUUAGAUACGUCGGUGCUAGAAUAAUAAAUUAAAUUAACUAACACCAUGCUAAAAACCCGG